CGGGAUUUGUUCUCUCCCGAAACCCUUCUCUCCUUCUCCUCUCGCGACGGAGAUUCCUUCUCGGGCGAAAACGAUGCUAGGGCUUCGUCUCCAGCGGCUAACGAGCACUUCUCUCCGUGGGUUCUUCACAGAUUCGAGGUCUCCUCGUCGAAGAGAGCUCGUGGGCACGAGGAAGGGUUUAAAUCUCAAGUUCUCCGAACCCUAGAGGCUUUCUCCUCCGGUUGUAAGUCGAGGGAUUUCGAUAAAGGAAAGGAAAAGAUUUAGCAAAGGAACGCGACAAGGUGGCGCGGAUGGUGUGUGAUGCCCGGACUAUGGAAGUCUUGGGAUUAGAAAGGAGUUCCUUUAGUCUUCUUUCCUUAUUUUUUUUUGGUUUCCGCAUUUUCGUUAUUGUAAACAUUUAAGACUGUACUUUACACUCCGAGUCAUUCAAGUUUAUUCUUGUUCUAGGUUGCAUGUAAGAUGAGUUCAGUUUAGUAAAUAGAUAUUUGUGUGUUUGAUACUUAUUUAA